GCGUUACCUCACGACGAAGAAACUGUUACCAUUUAAAAGGAAAAGUAACUUCGCUACAUAACAUCUACUAUUAACGCAGUCUAGGAAGGUUUUAUCCUGAAAUGCGUGCGGAGGAGGCUAGAGGGUGAAGGUUUUUUUCUCGGAAAUUACAGUCUUCCUCAACUCCCGCCUCCUCUCCACCCGGCGCUUCCCGUCACUUUGGAGGGACUCGAAGCCGUCCCAGGCCAUUUCUAUGGGUGACGACUUGUGGACUACCGUGAAGAUGGCUUGAAGACAAAUUGGAGAUGGCAGAAAAAAGACUCAGUGGCCUUGAAGGAAGCCAUGUGGAAUUGCCACAGAAGCCAAGGAGUUGAAAGGCAUUCCAGGCUGCUGCAGCUACUCAAAGAAGUCAUCAAGGACCCGUGUUCCUCCUAGUGCCCCAGUUCUCCAUCCUUAGGAUGUUUCUUCCAUCUUCAUGGUGACAAGAUGGCUUCUCCACCAUCAAGCACUGUGUCCAUGAGUCAGGCAGAAAGAAGAGGGGCAAGGCAAUGGGCUUGUUCCCAGAAGCCCCACCAAGCCACUGUCUAUAGGAUUGAGAAUCAGCCAGAACUAUAUUAUAUGGUACCGUGAAUGAAAAAUGUUGCCUGCCAUAUCAGUAAAUAAAGGAUGUUGCAGCCACUGAGGUAUGACAGCCACCUCUACUGGCACACUCUGAGGGAACUCAGGAUUGGAAAGAGCAGGAAACUGGCCCUAGACAGCUAAGGUGCGUAUCAAAGGCAUGAUUUCAAUGAGCCCGAAAUUAUAGCAUUACUGUAUCUGGGAUGCAUGACAAGAAUAAGUUCAGGAAGGCUCCAAGGGGAAAGCGGUUCCAGAAGAAGUGAUGGUAGGCCUAGAGAGCUCUCUGAGCUAGUCCAGCCAUCCAGUUGGCCUGAGGUAAGAAACUGGGGAGGUUGGAGAGAGGUAGAACUAAUAGCACAGCACAAUAAAACUCACAAGGAAGUGCUGGUUCAGAGUCCCCUAUCAGAGAAAGAAAAAUUGAGGCAAAAUGCAGUUUCUCUUCACUCCCCUGAUAAUAAAACAAAUUUACAGGAUCUCAUCAAAACUAUGGAAGAAAGACAAGUUCUGAAAACUUCCUGGUGUGCAAGGCAUAACAAAGAAAAUGUAUUGUACAGCACUUAUGUAUGUAAAUGUCCAUAAUGUCUUUGAUAUGACUUUUAUCUAGUGGGCCUGUUACUGAGUCCAAGGUUACACUGCUGCCCCACAACAGGCCAAUAAAUCCAGAGACAAGAUGCUGGGGCAGGGAAUAGCAACUUUAUUCUGAAAACCAGCAGGUCAGGAAAACAGUGGACUAGUGUCCCAAAGAAUCAUCUUACCUAAGUUAGAAUUUAUACUAAAAGGGGAGGCGGUGUGGCUGGUUGUUGGGAAAUUUCGGUGCUGGAAUCCUUUGUUCUUGCAGCCACAUAGGUUCAGUCACAAUAUUCCCAUAAACCUCUAACAAGGCAAAUGUUAUUCUCUGUUCUGCAACUUUUUAUCUCUAUGUGAUAAGCAUCUCUAUAUUCAGAGCAUUAAGAAUGGGCUAUCAUGUAUAUUUCAGGCUAUAGGCAACAUUCUUUUACAAAAGGUAUAGAGACAGCAUGACUAAGCACAGGCAACAGAGCACCAGGGUUAGAGCUCAAGGAAUAGAUCCAAUAUGGAGUCAGAUCUGUUCUUCUCUGUUACAAGCUGUUUUAUAUUAGUGAACAUUUUUUAAAUGUGCUUUUUUUGGGCUUCCUCCUGCCCUAUUUUGGUUCCUGUCUCCAUGUUUCUCAUGAAGUGUUUCAGUUCCUCAGCCACACGUUCUCUUGGCAUAGUUUUCGGGAACAUAAAUUUCAAGAUUGGCAAAGGGAUACUGUACCUUACCCAUUCCAUCUGAACAUUAUUACGAUGCCACAAAAUCACCUAUUUUCAUAAUAAAAUAUACCAUGCUUCUUUUUAUUAAUAAUUGAAAAUGAACAGAAAUAUUGUUAUUUGUUUGAGAAGGGCUCCAUUGUUUUUCUUUAGAAUGUUAAUUUCCUGCUUUGCAUUUCCUUCCUCAUAGAUAAAUGCAGAGAACAUGUCUCUUCUUGGGAAAAGUGGGCAUUCUUGAAGAAGUAAAAGAUUGACCUCAUUGUAUACAUUUAAUAAAUACUAUUUUUUUCCAAAGUAUGGUUAAUGACAGGUUGGAUAAUCUCUUGAUUUGGGAACUGAGUUCUACUACAUUUAAUACAAUCCCAAAUGACUAAGACGUGAACCAGAGAACACUGAGUCUGGAGGUUCGCAGUUUCUGGUAUCAUUUCUGUGGCUCAAAAGUGUGAGGGUCAAAGUUUCUCCGUUGUUUCUUACCAUCAUGAUUAUAACAUGGAUAACUGUGGAUCUAACCAUCACAUUCAAAUUCCAGGAAGGAAGCGGGAAAGAGAAAAGGCAAAGUCCAAGAGGCCAAGCCAGCCAAAUCUUUCCCUUUAAAGGGACUUUCCUAAAAAUCCUGCUUCUCUCUGGCCAGGAUGGUAUCACACAACCUCCUAGCUGCAAGGAAAUUGGGAAAUAUAUUUGUUUGUUUUUUUCAGCUGGGUAUAUUGCCACUUCCAGCAAAAGUAGGAAGGAAGAAAGGGAAAAUAGUUACUGAUCAAAAAAUUGGCACUCUGUACCCCUCCUUUUUAUUUAAUUUUUUGGCCUUUCCACAGCAUAUGGAAGUUCCCAGGCCACGGACUGAAUCUGAGCCACAGCUGUGAUGCUUCAGCUGUGGCAACACCGAAUCCUUAACCCACUGUGUCAGGCCAGGAAUCAAACCUGCAUGCCAGCACUCCAGGGACACUGCCGAUCCUGUUGCACCACAGAGAGAGCUCCACCACAACCUUUUCUUGGAAAAAUAUCAUCUUAUUUCAAGAUCAUGUCUGCAAGCUGAUGGUUGCUUUUUAAUUAUAAGAAUAAUAAAUGGGGCCUUCACAAAAUGGCCCCACCGCUGCUUUCAGUCCCUAGUGGACUGAGUUGUAAUUGCUGGUUGAAUUAUUCUGCUAUUACUAAAGCAAGUCGCAUUGCCUUCUCUUGGGGGAAUAGCUUUAGAAUAGCUUCUAAAAGAAAAAUAAAAGAAUUUAAAACACUACCUAU
rnacentral:lncRNA from 1 species